AUUCCCAUUGUCAAAGGUUAGUUAUUUCUAAUAUGAGAUUAAAUAUGUUUUUAGUUAUCAAAUAUAUAUUUUCUUUUAUAUAAUUAUGGUUGUUCCUUUGGUUGAUUGAAGCAACAAGAAAUUAUCUUAGAGAAUAAUCAUGCAAUUCAGAGUCCUAGUGAAUUGUACUCUUUCAGUCAGAUUCUCACUUCAUCAGAAAUAAGUACACUCGGUGGACUUUAUAUUCCAAAGGAACAUGCUGAGAGAUGUUUCCCCCCAUUGGAUAUGACCCUUGAACCACCAAUGCAUGAUCUAGUGGAGAAAGACUUGCAUGGAAAUGAGUGGAAUUUUUGACAUAUUUAUUGCAGUUAUGAGAAAGAACACAUGCUUACUAAUGGUUGGAGCACAUUUGUAAACUCAAAAAAUCUUGCUCCCGGAGAUUCAUGCAUUUUUGUUAGUGGUGAGAAUGGUGAAUUUGGUAUUGGGAUUCGUCGAGAUAUGAAACAACAUAUCAAUGUAUGCUGCACAUCAUCGUCUCAACAGUCUAGUCAAAAUAUGCAACUUCCAUCAUUGGUUGCUGCUCUUCAUGCUGUUUGUAUUGGAACUUUGUUCCAUGUUCAGUACUACCCUUGGUCAGUAAUUAUAGAUGAUUUUUUUAUUCAAAAUAAAAAUAAUUCCUCUUUUGUAGGAUUACUCCUUUUGAAUUUAUAAUUCCUCUGAAAACUUAUGUUGAGUCAAUUGAAAAAGAUUACUCAAUUGGAACAAGGGUGCACAUGUUGUCUCAAGUUGAAGGAUGUAUAAAAAGGUAUGGUACAAUAGUUGGUAAUGAAGAUAUUGAUCCUAUUAACUGGCCUGCUUCUGAUUGGAGAUCUCUUAGGGUUCAAUGGGAUUCUAUUCCAAAUAUUUUUACACAUCUGGAAAGAGUUUGUCCUUGGUGGAUUGAGCCCUUGAAAGAUUCCAAGAUUAAGGGAAUCCAUGUUCUUCCUUUACCUAAAAAAAUAGAUGAAUAUGACUCAUUAUUGCAUGGAUUAAGUGACUUUGGACUCAAGGAUACAUUUGGAAGUUCAUCCAAAGUUGAAUAUCACAAAGUGGACAUGGACUUGCAAGGUCAAGAUUACAAUAUCAGAAAGCAAAAAAAAUCAAAAUUUCUCAAUUUUUCUUUAUUUAUAUUUCUUUGCUUCU